AGCUGGUGGAUCCUGCCAGUAGUUAUAUGCUCGUCUUCAAGAUUAAGCCAUGCAUGUCUAAGUGUAAACCACUGGUGAACUGCGAAUGGCUCAUUAUACCAGUUAUAAUUUAUUUGGUGGUAUGGACUACUCGGAUACCCGUAGUAACUCUGUGGCUAAUACGUGCGAAUUUCCCCAACUCAUCCGUCAAGGAGAUUAGGAGGGGCGUAUUUAUUAGUUAUAAACGCUAGCCUCGACACUCAGCCUUAAGUUAUAGCCUGAGUGUAGAGAUCGUGUUGAAUCAUAAUAACUGUCGAAUCGUAUGGCCGUUUAGCUACUAGUAUAGCUGAACAACGCUAACGAUGCUCCAAUCAAAUUUCUGCCCCAUCAUCUUGCACGUUGGUAGGGUAGUGGCCUACCAAAGAAAUGACGGGUAACGGGGAAUUGGCGUUCGAUUCCGGAGAGGGAGCCUG
rnacentral:rRNA from 1 species